CAUGACGUAGCUUAACAGCAAAAGCAUCUGGCCUACACCCAGAAGAAUCCGCAACCAACGGACAUCAUGA
rnacentral:tRNA from 1 species